AGUUCUCUGCAAUGGUGACAUGCUAUGGGAGGGGUUGAAGAUGGACCUGGAAUGGAUGGGCCUAGUGACACUGGCGAGGCCGAGUGCAGAAGCGACAUUCAAUCAUUUUGAGAUGGACCCGAGCAUUUUGGUCUGCAUGGAGAGUUCAACUGAAGUGAAUCAGUAGCAGCUCUACUCUGCGACUCAUAUCUCAGUCUACUUUGAAAGAGUCUACUUCUUCUGCAAAUGGAGAGUUCAACACAA